rnacentral:rRNA from 1 species
AUUGAACGCUGGCGGCAGGCCUAACACAUGAAAGUCGAACGAGUGGCGGACGGGUGCGUAAUGUCUGGGAAACUGCCCGAUGGAGGGGGAUAACUACUUGAAACGGUAGCUAAUACCGCGUACCAUCGGAUGUGACCAGAGGGGAGUAGCUUGUAGGUGAGGUCACGCCUCACCUAGGCGACGAUCCCUAGCUGGUCUGAGCGGAUGACCAGACACAUUGGAACUGAGACACGGUCAAGACUCGUACGGGAGGCAGGAGUGGCGAAUAUUGCACAAUGGACGCAAGCCUGAUGCAGCCAUGCCGCGUGUAUUAAGGAGGCUGUCGGGUUGUAAAGUACUUUCAGCGGCGAGGCGUUACCAGCAGAAGCAGCACCGGCUAACUCCGUGCCAGCCGCCGCGUAAUUC